rnacentral:rRNA from 1 species
UACGUAGGAUGCUAGCGUUGUCCGGAUUUACUGGGCGUAAAGCGCGCGCAGGCGGCACUGUAAGUAAGGUGUGAAAUAUCCCUGCUCAACGGGGAGGGUGCACUUUAGACUGCAGAGCUAGAGGACGGUAGAGGGGGGUGGAAUUGCUGGUGUAGCGGUGAAAUGCGUAGAGAUCAGCAGGAACACCCGUGGCGAAGGCGGCCCCCUGGGCCGAACCUGACGCUGAGGCGCGAAAGUGUGGGGAGCGAACAGG